UCUUUUUUUUUUCUUUUGUUUUAAACUUUACUUGACAGAAAACUUUUUCUUUUAUUUGAAAGAUGUUUUCGCUUUUGUUGUUGCUUUUAGUGUGGGGACUGUCAUUAUUGCCGAGACCGAAUACAGAAAGAGAAGACGAAACUCCUCAUGAUUAGCAAAUGUUCUUGGACGGUGGAGUAAAUCAGAACGGCUGAUCUUCUUCUUUCUUUUUAUGUAACAUCGUCCUGUAGUUCCCUUCAGUAUGUUUCUAAGAAGCUAGGACAGCUAAGAACGAAUUAGCCCUUUCAAGCUCCGUUUCUAGAAGAGGAAGCCAGAAGGUAACAUAGUACUCAGCUAGCUAGCUAGCUUUUCCAAUUUAAUUAAAUUAUUAAUAGAAUGUAUAUUAAUUUCUGUUUCUCACUCAUCUCAUAUUCACAACCCUUGCUGAUCUGUGAUUGAACCCAAUUGAGGACGUUCUUCUUCACCCACUCUCUAUUUCCUUGUUCUGUAUAGUUGUACUUUGCAAAAUAGUCUAAGGUCAACAAAAAAAAAAAAAAAAAAAAAAGGCCUUCUUUAUAUACUGCACUGCACCUGAAGCUGCUUCCUCCAUUUUUAUUCACAACCAAUUGUUCAGAAAAUUAAGGAGAAGAAACACAAAGCAUAUUGGAGGUAAGCAUGGAUCAGUUUAUUAUCUCAAUUGGUGCAAAAAUUAGUGAAUAUACAGUUGGACAAGUUCUUCAUGAAUUGGGUUAUUCCUGCCACUACAAAUCAAAUGUAGACAACCUUAAGACCCAAAUUCAGCUUUUGGAAGGUGGAAAAGACCGCGUGGAACAUUCGGUUGAUGAGGCUACAAGAAACGGUGAGGAAAUUGAAGCUGAUGUUCAGAACUGGCUGAUCAAAGUGACCAACAUCGCUAAAAAUGCUGAAGAUGUUUUCAAGCGUGUAGACCAUGCGAAUUCCUUGUGUUCUUGCAAGAUCUUUCAAAUGUUGGUGUCAAGACAUAAGCUGAGCAAGAAAGCAGAGACCAUGGCUAAGGAUGCUGAUGCUGAAAUCAAACUUGCACUCACAAUAUUAUCCCAAAAGAUUUCUUAU